rnacentral:rRNA from 1 species
CGCGAAUCGCCCUUCGGGGUGCCCAGGCGCGAAAACUUUACAAUGCUGGCAACAGCGAUAAGGGGACCUCGAGUGCCAGGAUACAAUCUUGGCUGUCGUGAUGCCUAAAAAGCAUUACAUAGCAAGGGCCGGGCAAGACCGGUGCCAGCCGCCGCGGUAACACCGGCGGCUCGAGUGGUAACCGCUAUUAUUGGGUCUAAAGGGUCUGUAGCCGGCCGGAUAAGUCUCUUGGGAAAUCCGACAGCUCAACUGUCGGGCUUUCAGGGGAUACUGUUCGGCUCGAGGCCGGGAGAGGUGAGAGGUACUUCAGGGGUAGGGGUGAAAUCUUGUAAUCCUUGAAGGACCACCAGUGGCGAAGGCGUCUCACCAGAACGGUCCUGACGGCAAGGGACGAAAGCUAGGGGCACGAACCGGAUUAGAUACCCGGGUAGUCCUAGCCGUAAACGAUACUCGCUAGGUGUCGGCCACGGUGCGACCGUGGUCGGUGCCGUAGGGAAGCCGUGAAGCGAGCCACCUGGGAAGUACGGCCGCAAGGCUGAAACUUAAAGGAAUUGGCGGGGGAGCAC